GGUCUUUCGUCUGAUUUGUCAACCUUUUAAUUUAUCUGUUUACGUUUGCCCUAAAAUAUCCGAUUAAAUUAAAUUAAUUAUGUAUACUUUGCCAAAAUUUUAAUUCCUUCAGUUUUAAGGGUGGGCAGUUCGGGCUGGUGGCAGGUUGGGCAGUUGUGAGUGUCUGUGUGAUGUGAGGAAAGCGGAAGUUACGAAUGGAAUGCAGGCAGCUUAGGACCAAGGCAGACAGCUUAGGACUGAGGCAGACAGCUUAGGACUGAGGCAGACAGCUUAGGAUUGAGGCAGGUAGGCAGUUGGUAGGAAUCAGUGGGGGGCACUUGUCAUUUCGGCCAUGGGAUUCAAAAUUUGCAUGUCGAGUAUUUGUUACUAAUUGCUUGUUGUUUUACAUUAUUUGCCAGGUAUGCGCGUGGCUGCUCUCAAGAGAAGAUCGACUUAGCAAUUUGCAUUAUUUUGCAUUUGCAAGGUUGGUCUUCUCUUCGCCUCGCUACCCCGGCUGGCUCUCCGAGUGCUACCUCUACUUUAAGUAGAAGUACUUUUACUAUAUAGUAGAAGUACUUCUGCUAGAAGUAGAGGUGGCACUUGGGGAGCCGGCCGGGGUGGGGAAAAUUUUUUUUAUUUUUUUUUUCAAUUCCCAUGGGAAUUGAAUAUUUAAUUAAAAAGGAGUCUCUUGUAUAAUUAAUGAACAAUUUAUUGAAAAGAAUGUAAUUACAAAUUGAAUAACAAUAAAAAGAGAACAACCACUGCAUACGUAUUUAAAUAACAAUAGAAGAAAACAGAACAUGGCACAAAGAGAACAACUAACAUUGUGUUCAACACAAGUGAAUAAGCACAAGUGAAAACACAACAUUAAAAAAACUUGUUUGCCCGCAAAUUAACAUUAAAAAGUUAAUUCUUGAGGAAACAAGAGAACCUGGUCUUUUCAAGAUAAAUGUUUAUACUUCAAAAUAAAUAUUGUAAAACAACUCUAAUGAUAAUUUUUUCGAAUUUGACCGACAAAUCCAAAGCGUCGCACCAGGUUGUUUUACAAGGAAAAUAUAUGGCUCAAAGACAAAGUCAAUCGAACAUGCUUUUACUUUUUUUUAAUACAACUAAUUGUUUUUGGUAAAGUGACCAAAAUGUUCACUUGAGUAUGAAAAUCAUCGCGAUGUUUAGAUGCUAAGAGAAGUCCAUUCGUUGUAAUGCGAGAUCAGUUGUCAACAAAUUCUAUUGCUUGAAUUAGCAAAUUAAUUUCCUCAAAGUGCCUUAACAUUUUCACAAUGCAUUAAAGAUGCGGUACAGUCCGUAUGUAAACAAAGGCUUUGUUUACAUUUCGCUAUCCAAAAUAUUGAAUUUUAUUCGACAACUAUUUAUAUUUUCAUGUUUCUAGAGUAUAAUAAAUUAUCAAGAGACAACAAUCAAGCUUUGCAAGAACAAAAUGAAAUAAAAACCUAAAUAAACGGUUUGUAAAUAAAAAGAGGGCUCCUUUGUGCACAUGCAAAGAUCGGACUGUACCGCAUCUUUAACAACAUACUUCAUUAAACUCAGAAAUGAUAUUUUUAAACAUCGAAACAUUACGACUAGAUCAUUGGUUCCAUACUCAAUUGAACAUUAAUAUAUAAGAACAUUUCUUUCAAGUGCCAAACCAGGAAAUAUUUAAGAAUUUGAAAUUAUCCUGGUCUUUCGGAGCCAUAUAUCUUUGAGAGUCGUUUUUAACCUGACAGCUUUGAAUUGAUUAUAUAUAAUGUUAAUACUAAUUAAAGUGAUGAAAAUACAGUUUCACAACAAAAUUUUAAAAGAAUGUUAUUUCUCCAAUUCUGAUUGAUUUUUCAAACAAAAAUUCAGUUUCAAUUUGCUUUGCUUAAACUGGUACAUUUCUCGUCCUAUCGAUAAAUACAACAAGAUAAUACACAUUGAUCCACUAUUUUACAAACAAACAUCUCCUAAAGUUCACUUAGGGAAAAAAUUGUCCUGUUUUAUAUCAUUUGACAUUUAUAUCAUUUACAAAAAAUGCUUCGGGAAAUUUUUCUGACGCAAAACAUGUAGCGAUGUACAGAAACACACAAAAUAUGGUUGAACCAAACUUUCAAAUGUUCAUAAAAUAUUUUCUUAUUCUUUUUACACUUUUACUUAUUUUGGUCAAAACCAAACAGAAAUUUUCAAUUGGAAAAGAGCUUAUGGCUUUGCAUAAUGAAAAAACAGGAAAAAAGUUUUUG